rnacentral:rRNA from 1 species
AUUGAACGCUGGCGGCAGGCCUAACACAUGCAAGUCGAGCGGAUGAAGGGAGCUUGCUCCUGGAUUCAGCGGCGGACGGGUGAGUAAUGCCUAGGAAUCUGCCUGGUAGUGGGGGAUAACGUCCGGAAACGGGCGCUAAUACCGCAUACGUCCUGAGGGAGAAAGUGGGGGAUCUUCGGACCUCACGCUAUCAGAUGAGCCUAGGUCGGAUUAGCUAGUUGGUGGGGUAAAGGCCUACCAAGGCGACGAUCCGUAACUGGUCUGAGAGGAUGAUCAGUCACACUGGAACUGAGACACGGUCCAGACUCCUACGGGAGGCAGCAGUGGGGAAUAUUUGACAAUGGGCGAAAGCCUGAUCCAGCCAUGCCGCGUGUGUGAAGAAGGUCUUCGGAUUGUAAAGCACUUUAAGUUGGGAGGAAGGGCAGUAAGUUAAUACCUUGCUUGUUUGACGUUACCAACAGAAUAAGCACCGGCUAACUUCGUG